AUAAAAUAAUGGACUACCAACUAUUAAUUUGCUUGUUGUGAAAACUGUUUGUCUUUUCAGCUCCUGGAAAUGCACAUAAUGUGACCGUGUCAACACAAAGUGAGACCAGUAUAACUCUGGAGUGGGACAAAGUGAAUGACAUCCUCAAUUAUAUAAUUGUGAUGAAUGGAAGAGAGAUUAAUGUCACUGCAUCAGCGGGACAGGGACCAGUGUCACAAACAAUCUCAGAGCUCACAAGUGGGACGAAAUAUGACUUCACUCUCUUCACUGUGUUUGAAAAUGUCAGAAGCAGCGGAGUGAACAUCACUGCACCCACUGCUCCUGGAAAUGCACAUAAUGUGACCGUGUCAACACAAAGUGAGACCAGUAUAACUCUGGAGUGGGACAAAGUGAAUGACAUCCUCAAUUAUAUAAUUGUGAUGAAUGGAAGAGAGAUUAAUGUCACUGCAUCAGCGGGACAGGGACCAGUGUCACAAACAAUCUCAGAGCUCACAAGUGGGACGAAAUAUGACUUCACUCUCUUCACUGUGUUUGAAAAUGUCAG
rnacentral:lncRNA from 1 species